GUACACACCGCCCGUCACACCACGAAAGUCAGCUGUACCAGAAGUCACUGGCGCCAACCCGCAAGGGAGGCAGGUGCCCAAGGUAUGGCUGGUAAUUGGGGUGAAGUCGUAACAAGGUAGCCGUAGGUGAACCUGCAGAAGGAUCA
rnacentral:rRNA from 1 species